AUACGGAGGGUGCAAGCGUUAAUCGGAAUUACUGGGCGUAAAGCGCGCGUAGGCGGUUUGCCAAGUCAGAUGUGAAAGCCCUGGGCUCAACCUGGGAACUGCAUUUGAAACUGGUAAACUAGAGUUUGGUAGAGGGUGACGGAAUUCCAGGUGUAGCGGUGAAAUGCGUAGAUAUCUGGAGGAACAUCAGUGGCGAAGGCGGUUGCCUGGACCAAAACUGACGCUGAGGUGCGAAAGCGUGGGGAGCAAACAGGAUUAGAAACCCCAGUAGUCC
rnacentral:rRNA from 1 species